rnacentral:rRNA from 1 species
AAUCAACGCUGGCGGCGUGCCUAACACAUGCAAGUCGAACGCGAAAGCCCGCAAGGGUAAGUAGAGUGGCGCACGGGUGAGUAACACGUGGACAACCUGCCUUCGAGUGGGGAAUAACCUUCCGAAAGGAGGGCUAAUACCGCAUAACACCUCGGGACACAAGUCUUGGGGUUGAAAAGAGCAAUUUGCUCGAAGAGGGGUCCGCGCCUGAUUAGCUAGUUGGUGAGGUAACGGCUCACCAAGGCUUCGAUCAGUAGCCGUCCUGAGAGGGAGCACGGCCACACUGGAACUGAGACACGGUCCAGACUCCUACGGGAGGCAGCAGUGGGGAAUUUUUGGCAAUGGGCGAAAGCCUGACCAAGCAACGCCGCGUGGGUGAUGAAGUAUCUUGGUACGUAAAACCCUUUCGGCAGGGACGAACCUAAUGACGGUACCUGCGGAAGAAGCCCCGGCUAACUCCGUGCCAGCAGCCGCAGUAAU